GGUUUAGGAGAGGAGUUUAUUGAAGGUGAUUUCUAGUUAGUAAAAUGGCAUACCAACUUGCUUACUCAAGGUACGUACGAGCUACGAAACCUUGGCUUUAGAUCACUACUACAAAUCCCUUGGUUUUUGGAUGCCAUUGGUUCGACGCUAUGUAUGGAGUGUCCACGUAUAAAAGAAUUCCCACUUAUUUUCGACGCUUUUACAUGUUAAAUCAGUUCUUGACAAGAUAAAGCGACGACAAAUUCGUAUGAUUUGCACGUGACUCAAGGCAACCUAAGGAAAAUUAAAAAGAAAACAAAAAAGAAAUGUUAAAAACUGGCUUAUACCCAGGCCACGAAUAUACCCAAAGUACUCUCUCUCUCUCUCUCUCUCUCUCUCUCUCUAUAACUCUUAGAUCCCAGCACCUCAACACAAACUCCUUCGUCACCGAAAUUCUCUUCGAUCUCUCAAUUUCUGGAUUUUCUCUCCUCUUCUCAAUCAUGGUGCUCGAGAAUUCUCAGGCAACUAUAAUCUGCAUCAUCAAUCCGGAGUGGAUGCGUAAUGGUGAUUACUCGCCCACCAGAUUUCAAGCUCUUUCUGAUGCUGUUAAUCUCAUCUGCGGCGCUAAAACUCAGUCUAAUCCGGAGAACACUGUCGGAAUUCUGACUAUGGAUGGAAAAGGUGUUCGUGUUUUGGUCACUCCCACCAGUGAUCUUGGAACAAAUGAUAUUGGCUUGUAUGCACGGCAGGGGAAAAGAAUAUUGGGAGUGAAAAGGGUAGCAAAUAGCACCGGAUUGUUUUAGAAAUGGUUCUUUGUUGCCUGAGGUCAAGGAUCCAAGGCAGAUUUAAUUUAGUUGGUUGUUUGUAGGAGCUAAUGUUGUACUAUGUGCUGCCCUCUGUUGGAGGGCUUUGUAAUUGGAGUGCUCUUUUACGCAGGACCAUUGUUUAAGAUGGACUUUUCGAAUCAUCCAUGUUCGUGGCCGGCUUGCUAUCGAUGAUGAUUUAGUCUGCCACAUGGUCCAAACAAAAAGAAGAUGCCACCUCCCGAUGUGGCUUGCAUCUUGCAAGCAUUCGCUACCUACAUAGGAGGAUGGUACACCAGACUGUAUUUUCUGCUCCUACACCUAUUCAAGCACAGUCAUGGCCAAUUUCAAUGCAAGGUCAAGAUAUUGUGGCAACUGCUCAGAUGGGUUCUGGAAAGACCUUAGGCUAUCUUCUUCCAGGUUUUAUGCAUCUCAAGCAGUGCCGCAACAAUACACAAAUGGCACCAACCAUGUUAGUACUGUCACCGACAAGGGAAUUGGCAACACAGAUUCAAGAUGAGGCAGUGAAAUUUGGGAGGUCCUCCAGAAUAUCUUGCACGUGUUUGUAUGGAGGGGAACCCAAAGGCCCACAAUUGAAGGAGUUAGAUACAGGAUUAGAUAUUGUGAUAGCUACACCUGGUCGUUUGAAUGAUAUACUAGAGACAAAGAGAAUUAGCUUGAAUCAGGUCUCAUAUUUGGUGCUUGAUGAGGCAGAUCGGAUGCUGGACAUGGGUUUUGAGCCACAAAUUAGAAAAAUUGUGAAGGAGGUACCCACUCGUCGCCAGACAUUGAUGUAUACUGCAACAUGGCCUAAAGAGGUGUGAAAGAUUGCAGCUAAUCUAUUAUCAAAUGCUGUCCAAGUUAAUAUUGGUAACACAGAUGAACUUGUUGCAAACAAGUCUAUCACUCAGGGAUUUGGAGGCUUUGACUACAAAAUGUGAGCUUAGGGAGGAAGAGAGAGGUUCCUGUAUAGUGGUAUACUACUAUAGCAGAUUAAGAAACCAUACUUGUGGCUUUCGACGACUAGACGUGUAACGUGAAUAGUCAAGAAGAAAAAAGGGUCAAAAGAUUAUGUAGACAUCCAUGUAUGAAUACCGAGAAACAGUAGAAAAAAGUGACAACUAACACUGCAAUAUUUCAAGGACAGAAGAAAGAUAUAUUUAAGCUCCUUAAUGAUUUCAAUUAGUGAUUUGAAAUUUGUUUCACUACAACUAGUCACGAAUGAAUUUUAAGUUGCAAUUAUAAUUGUUGUAAUCGAAAUUCAUUACUAUGAGAUAUUGUAUAUAUGCUAUAAUAUAUUUAUAGGCAAUAUAAAAAU